ACUCCUGCGGGAGGCAGCAGUGGGGAAUUUUGGACAAUGGGCGAAAGCCUGAUCCAGCCAUGCCGCGUGAGUGAAGAAGGCCUUCGGGUUGUAAAGCUCUUUUGUCAGGGAAGAAACGGUGAAAGCUAAUAUCUUUUGCUAAUGACGGUACCUGACGAAUAAGCACCGGCUAACUACGUGCCAGCAGCCGCGGUAAUACGUAGGGUGCAAGCGUUAAUCGGAAUUACUGGGCGUAAAGCGUGCGCAGGCGGUUUUGUAAGUCUGAUGUGAAAUCCCCGGGCUCAACCUGGGAAUUGCAUUGGAGACUGCAAGGCUAGAAUCUGGCAGAGGGGGGGAGAAUUCCACGUGUAGCAGUGAAAUGCGUAGAUAUGUGGAGGAACACCGAUGGCGAAGGCAGCCCCCUGGGUCAAGAUUGACGCUCAUGCACGAAAGCGUGGGGAGCAAACAGGAUUAGAAACCCUAGUAGUCCC
rnacentral:rRNA from 1 species